rnacentral:rRNA from 1 species
AGCGAACGCUGGCGGCGUGCCUAACACAUGCAAGUCGAACGUGAAAAGGGAAACCUGAGUAAAGUGGCGUACGGGUGAGUAACGCGUAGGUAAUCUACCCCAGAAUCUGGAAUAACCUGCCGAAAGUCGGGCUAAUACUGGAUAGAGCGAGGGAACUCGUAAGAGAGUUUUUCGGGAAAGGGAGCCCGCAAGGGCCUUCGUUCUGGGAUGAGCCUGCGUCUCAUUAGCUAGUUGGUAAGGUAACGGCUUACCAAGGCGAUGAUGAGUAGCUGGUCUGAGAGGAUGAUCAGCCACACUGGAACUGAAACACGGUCCAGACUCCUACGGGAGGCAGCAGUGGGGAAUCUUGCGCAAUGGACGAAAGUCUGACGCAGCCACGCCGCGUGAGUGAAGAAGGCCUUCGGGUUGUAAAGCUCUGUCGGAUGGGACGAACAUCUUCAUAGUGAAUAGCUAUGAGGACUGACGGUACCAUCAAAGGAAGCACCGGCUAACUCCGUG